rnacentral:rRNA from 1 species
UACGGGGGGGGCAAGCGUUGCUCGGAAUCACUGGGCGUAAAGGGCGCGUAGGCGGCCUGCUAAGUCGGAUGUGAAAUCCCCAGGCUUAACCUGGGAACUGCAUCCGAUACUGGAUGGCUUGAAUUCGGGAGAGGGAUGCAGAAUUCCAGGUGUAGCGGUGAAAUGCGUAGAUAUCUGGAGGAAUACCGGUGGCGAAGGCGGCAUCCUGGACGGACAUUGACGCUGAGGAGCGAAAGCCAGGGGAGCAAACGGG